GAUGAACGCUGGCGGCGUGCCUAAUACAUGCAAGUCGAGCGAACAGACGAGGAGCUUGCUCCUCUGACGUUAGCGGCGGACGGGUGAGUAACACGUGGAUAACCUACCUAUAAGAGUGGGAUAACUUCGGGAAACCGGAGCUAAUACCGGAUAAUAUAUUGAACCGCAUGGUUCAAUAGUGAAAGACGGUUUUGCUGUCACUUAUAGAUGGAUCCGCGCCGCAUUAGCUAGUUGGUAAGGUAACGGCUUACCAAGGCAACGAUGCGUAGCCGACCUGAGAGGGUGAUCGGCCACACUGGAACUGAGACACGGUCCAGACUCCUACGGGAGGCAGCAGUAGGGAAUCUUCCGCAAUGGGCGAAAGCUUGACGGAGCAACGCCGCGUGAGUGAUGAAGGUCUUCGGAUCGUAAAACUCUGUUAUUAGGGAAGAACAAAUGUGUAAGUAACUAUGCACGUCUUGACGGUACCUAAUCAGAAAGCCACGGCUAACUACGUG
rnacentral:rRNA from 1 species